CCUACGGGAGGCAGCAGUGGGGAAUAUUGGACAAUGGGGGCAACCCUGAUCCAGCAAUGCCGCGUGCGUGAUGAAGGCCUCUGGGCUGUAAACCUCUUUUAUCAAGGAAGAAGAUCUGACGGUACUUGAUGAAUAAGCCACGGCUAAUUCCGUGCCAGCAGCCGCGGUAAUACGGGAGUGGCAAGCGUUAUCCGGAAUUAUUGGGCGUAAAGCGUCCGCAGGCGGCCUUUUAAGUCUGUUGUUAAAGCGUGGAGCUUAACUCCAUUUGAGCAAUGGAAACUGGAAGGCUUGAGUGUGGUAGGGGCAGAGGGAAUUCCCGGUGUAGCGGUGAAAUGCGUAGAUAUCGGGAAGAACACCAGUGGCGAAGGCGCUCUGCUGGGCCAUAACUGACGCUCAUGGACGAAAGCCAGGGGAGCGAAAGGGAUUAGAUACCCCUGUAGUCCUGGCCGUAAACGAUGAACACUAGGUGUCGGGGGAAUCGACCCCCUCGGUGUCGUAGCCAGCGCGUUAAGUGUUCCGCCUGGGGAGUACGCACGCAAGUGUGAAACUCAAAGGAAUUGACGG
rnacentral:rRNA from 1 species